rnacentral:rRNA from 1 species
AAAGCCAGGCGACGCACGCGCCACUAGGCCGGCGGGUUUGCCGUAGCUCCCCCGCCACAGUCUUGCUUUCACUUCGCCUUCGGGUUUUGUGAGACCCUUAGACUUGCACACAUGCUAUACUCCUUGGCCCGUGUUUCGAGACGUGACCGAUGGUGCUGGACUUAACACCACUCAGACCAACGCCCGGCUGAGAGACCUUGCAUAAUGCAGCUGGGUACACACCGCCUGGGAUGGACGCUUCCGGCACAGUGGAAGCGCCUGGGCGUCGGUCUGGCCAGAAAGCAGCUCGUCGCAAGAGGAUCAUACCAGGUUUAUCUCGGUCGCCGCCCGACCCAGGACUAGACACGCGUGUGAAUGAGGUCUGUCUCGCAGCCGUCAUCAACAACGCAUCGUUGCCAUCGUCCUGGAUACGCGAUCGGCAGUUUGAGCCUGUGGGUGACCUCACAACGUGCUGUGGUGGGCAUAACCGCAUUAGACCAAGAGGUUCUGAACGUCCAUUCAAAAGGGGACAGCCCGAAGAGCCCUUCAGCCGAAGCCGAAGUCCGACAGGCUGAACCCCCCGCACGACAACUAACCUGGCAAACAGAAUGCUACGUCUGACGAGCCACACUCAAGGUCUUAGAACACCACGUAUGAUGGACACCAUCUGCGGAAGCCUUCCAAGCUCCAUUGGCUUAUACUCUGAGCGGUUUCACGGUCUUU